rnacentral:tRNA from 1 species
UCCCCGGUGGCUCAGCUGGUAAAGCAUCUGCCUACAAUGCGGAUGACCCGGGUUCAAUCCCUGGGUCGGGAA